rnacentral:tRNA from 1 species
GAGGGUAUAGGUCAGUGGUAGAGUGUGUGCUUAGCAUGCACAAGGUCCUGGAUUCAAUCCCCAGCACCUCCA